rnacentral:lncRNA from 1 species
UUGCGAAGCGCCUAUGGUUACAGGAGCCACACAAGUCUGGCUCUUCCAUAAACACCGCUUGAUCCUGGGGCUAACAGUGCCUGGUACACACUGGACAGCCAACAAAUACUGUCCUGUGGAGGAACGGAUGUGGACUAGGUUCUAGAAAGGAAAAACAAAAAACAAAAAACGACACGACAACUUAGAGAUGGUCUUCACGGAGCUUGGACUCAAGGGAGGAUGAAACCUGGACAGUUCGUUCUGAAAAGAGUCCCUUCAGGUAUCUAGUAACCUGGCAAGAGAAAACUCUGGACCAUGGCUAGGACUUGGUACCUGUCAGUCUUCCUGGAGGACGCUCUGGCUGAGCCUUUCACUGCAGGAACAUGGAGCCUAUUUCUGAGGGAGAAGACACCGAAAGCAUAGCAGCGUCAAGGUAGUUUGUGAGCUACAGGAUGGAAAGCAGCUGGUCGUCUUCACUUAAGGACCUUGCCUCCGUGUCUCAAUACCACACUUCUCAUGAGCAAAGCUUCCCAGAGAAGCUGGACAGGAACGCAGGGGUCCUCCUAAUGCUACCUUCUCCAACUCUAAUGAGAAGGAUUUACCUCAACCAGCAGGGAUCCAGAAGUCCACGUUGUUAAGUGCACAGCCCAUGGGGUGGUUGUUCUUAGGAGAGAGGUCUAUUAAUCCUCUCCUACCAGGUCCAACCAUGGUCAUUAUCCAUAGUCUUCUCAAAGAGGACAGUCAGCAGUGAGGUACUACUCAACGGGACAGGAGCCUAGAGAUACUGUUGCUGUUUAGGACAGAUGACAUUUACUUCAGGGGGAACUGAUCACAGUCUAACCAGCCUUGAGUAUAUCUGAGAGACAGAAGGGCCCCAGAGCUCUGCAAAGGGAGAAGAAGAAGAAGAAGAAGAAGAAGAAGAAGAAGAAGAAGAAGA